rnacentral:tRNA from 1 species
GGGCGAAUGGCUCAGUGGUAGAGCAUCCGCUUUGCAUGCGGAAGGUCCAGGUUUCGAUCACCUGUUCGUCCA